UCCGGUAUGGUGUAACGGCUAACAUUGCCGCCUUUCACUAAAUAAGCUGAUCCGCGGCAGCUCGGGGUUCGAUUCCCCGUACCGGAA